UGAAGAAGGGUUUCGGCUCGUAAAGCUCUGUUGUUAAAGAAGAACGUGGGUAAGAGUAACUGUUUACCCAGUGACGGUAUUUAACCAGAAAGCCACGGCUAACUACGUGCCAGCAGCCGCGGUAAUACGUAGGUGGCAAGCGUUAUCCGGAUUUAUUGGGCGUAAAGCGAGCGCAGGCGGUCUUUUAAGUCUAAUGUGAAAGCCUUCGGCUCAACCGAAGAAGUGCAUUGGAAACUGGGAGACUUGAGUGCAGAAGAGGACAGUGGAACUCCAUGUGUAGCGGUGAAAUGCGUAGAUAUAUGGAAGAACACCAGUGGCGAAGGCGGCUGUCUGGUCUGCAACUGACGCUGAGGCUCGAAAGCAUGGGUAGCGAACAGGAUUAGAUACCCUGGUAGUCCAUGCCGUAAACGAUGAUUACUAAGUGUUGGAGGGUUUCCGCCCUUCAGUGCUGCAGCUAACGCAUUAAGUAAUCCGCCUGGGGAGUACGACCGCAAGGUUGAAACUCAAAAGAAUUGACGGGGGCCCGCACAAGCGGUGGAGCAUGUGGUUUAAUUCGAAGCUACGCGAAGAACCUUACCAGGUCUUGACAUCUUCUGACAGUCUAAGAGAUUAGAGGUUCCCUUCGGGGACAGAAUGACAGGUGGUGCAUGGUUGUCGUCAGCUCGUGUCGUGAGAUGUUGGGUUAAGUCCCGCAACGAGCGCAACCCUUAUUACUAGUUGCCAGCAUUAAGUUGGGCACUCUAGUGAGACUGCCGGUGACAAACCGGAGGAAGGUGGGGACGACGUCAAAUCAUCAUGCCCCUUAUGACCUGGGCUACACACGUGCUACAAUGGAUGGUACAACGAGUCGCGAGACCGCGAGGUUAAGCUAAUCUCUUAAAACCAUUCUCAGUUCGGACUGUAGGCUGCAACUCGCCUACACGAAGUCGGAAUCGCUAGUAAUCGCGGAUCAGCAUGCCGCGGUGAAUACGUUCCCGGGCCUUGUACACACCGCCCGUCACACCAUGAGAGUUUGUAACACCCAAAGCCGGUGGGGUAACCUUUUAGGAGCUAGCCGUCUAAGGGGAAA
rnacentral:rRNA from 1 species